GACGAACGCUGGCGGCGUGCUUAACACAUGCAAGUCGAGCGGUAAGGCCCUUUCGGGGGUACACGAGCGGCGAACGGGUGAGUAACACGUGGGUGACCUGCCCUCAGCUCUGGGAUAAGCCUGGGAAACCGGGUCUAAUACCGGAUAUGACUCCAUGACGCAUGUUGUGGGGUGGAAAGCCUUGUGCGGCUGAGGAUGGGCCCGCGGCCUAUCAGCUUGUUGGUGGGGUGAUGGCCUACCAAGGCGACGACGGGUAGCCGGCCUGAGAGGGCGACCGGCCACACUGGGACUGAGACACGGCCCAGACUCCUACGGGAGGCAGCAGUGGGGAAUCUUGCGCAAUGGGCGAAAGCCUGACGCAGCGACGCCGCGUGAGGGAUGACGGCCUGGUGUAACUCUUC
rnacentral:rRNA from 1 species